CUGUAAUCCCAAAAGUUAUUUGCAUUCAAAUGGUUUAGCUAUAAUCACUGAUGGUAAUUAAUUUUCUCUGUAAAACUAAAAUCAUAUUACUGUGUCAGACAGAACUCAUUGGUUGAAGCUUUUUGCACUUAACCUAUAUUGUUUUGCAUGUGAUGCACUAAAAUGAAUACAUUUAACAUGGUUCUUUCUAUUUUAAGUUUAUUCUAAUAAAUAGUUUAAGUUCAAUUUUUAUAAGAGAAUAAGUUUUAAACUCAACAAUCAAAUAAUAAAAGUAAAUUUGAUGUUUACUGAUUAUGUUUAGUUGAAAGUACUUUCACUAUUUUUAAGUUUUUGUUGCCCCUCCCAUAUUUUUCCCGCUGGAACCGAAGAGACUUCUGGACUUGUUUGUCAGAAGAAAUGAAGACAAGUCGUUUUUGGUGGUUUUGCCAGGGCUUGGACAUGUUUGUUUCAGUCUUCAGUCGAUAGGGAGUACUUUUCCUCAAACCUUCACGCAAACUGAAUGCUGCUGAUGGUGACCUUGAAAUCCCAAUAGGAAUCAUCUUCAAUGGUGAAAACGGAAGUCCAGAGCAAGAACUGAACCCCUCCCAACUGGGGAUCCUUCUAGAGGGCAAUGUGGUUAUGGAUUCCAUCUGCAGUCUUCCUUUGGCAAUGUGUCUCCUGUUCGGACUGACUUAUGCACUCCACUUGGAGUACCCAAAGUGCAUGAAGAAUACCUUCCUGUUUAUCCAGCAGAUUAUGCUGAAUCUGGGACGAAACGAUCCUCCUCCAAAACUCCAAAGGCUAAAAAAUGAGCUUUCAAUGUGAGAUACUGAGAUAUGUUCUUACCUUAGCUUUGAAGAGUUGAUGCAUACCAGUAACCCUAGUGCACUCUGAAGCAUUGACUGAGUUACUGGGGGGAUGAAGAAGUGCUCCUACAGUGUUAUUACACCUUGUAAUAUAGUACCCCUUCUUAUCGGCUUAGAAAAUCCACACAUUAAAUUUAGUUAAACUAAACUUGGAAGAGUGUCACUUUGAGGCUUUGCUCCAUUUGCAUGACUGAGGGCACGCACAAAGACAAAACUGGUACACAUCAACUCGUCAAAGCUAAGGUAAGAACAUAUCUUAUGUAAAAUCAGUGACCUAUUCCUUUAAUUUCAUUGUCUCGCUGGGGCCAUUCCUUAUUCCAUAGUUUUUAUUUUUCCAAGUUAAAAUAUUUGUGGAAAUAAGUUUUACUGUUACAACUUGUUACCCAGAGUGUCACACCAAAGUUCUUUACUUGUGAUACACAGUUUUAUCUGUUUAAAAGGAUUGUUUUAAAGAAAAUGUUUUAUAUGAAGUUCAAUUGUGCACUUGUUUCACUUACUGUGAAAAAAAAACUACCUCAGAGACCACAAAUAAGUUCUUGUCAAAAAGUGUCUUGGAAUAACUGAAAUAUUGAAAUAAUGUUUCUGAAAGAAAUGUUUUCUUAGAAGCGCCAUGUGUAAAAAUUGUAAUACUGUUCAAAGGAAAACAAAAGUCUUGUUUUGUUAUAAAUAAAGUAAAAAAAAAAAACA